rnacentral:lncRNA from 1 species
GCAGCGGCAGGGUGAAGGGCUCCUCCAGCGCGACCCGAGACGCCGAGGCCGAGGAGGCGCGGAGAGCGAGCGAAGGCUGCUAGCAAGUUGUCAUCUCUCAAUAGUUUUCUGGAAAGUGGGGCCAAAAGAGCUGUUUGGAUAAGCUCUUUGCCGAAGAAUAACGUGAGAAGGAAUUAUGUCUCUGAAUACUUUCUUACCCCAUCAAAUAUGAGCAGCCCAGGAAGACAGUAGAGCAUAAUUUAAUAUGAAAAGGAGGUAGAGUUGGAGGUCUGCAUCUGUUUCUACCUUAUGGAGAAUCAACAGCAAAUACUUGGUUCCUGGAAUACAGGGAGGAGAAAAAUCCAACAGGAGUAUGAUGGAAAAACAAAUGAGCCAGGAAUCCAAAUUCUGCAUGAUAUUUAGUCUGGAAGAUAGAAAAUGGUUUCAUUGAAGACAAGGGAAGAAUGUUUCAAGCCGAAAAGAGUCAACAGUGUCAGAUGCAACAGAGGAACAGUGAAAGAAAACUUUAAAGACAACUGAAAUAAUUUGGCAAGUCAGUCAUUGAUGACGUUUGCCUGACAGUAUCAUUGAAAUGGUGAGGUGAGAAGACUGAUUUCAACUUCCUCUUGUGCAUGGGGGGAGAGAAAUGAGAGUAUUGCAUGAUGACAAAUAAAAUUUCCAGGAGCCUAGUGAUGAAGGGACAUAGACAUUAAGAGAUGUGAGGGGCGUUUGGUGUUUUGCUUGUGUAUACAAAUGUGUUUUUCAAGUUUGAGCAGAUUUAAGCUCUUUAAAAAUUCUGGAUCCAAAUCACAAUAGGAAUACUAAAGUGCACUUAAAAUAUUUGUAUUAUUGUUAAUCAUAUUUGAUACUGUUUUUUCAUGUGUAAAAUUAUUUGAUAUGUAUCUCUAGCCAUAAAAAUUAUUUAACUCAAAUCUAUUUUACUGUUGAAUAGAAACAAUUUAAAAUUAGGUGCUGGAUCUCCCUGAUCUGUAUCCCAACCACUUUGGCUACUCAUGCAUACAUACAUAUAUGUAUAUAUGUAUACACAUGUGUGUGUGUGCACUUAUGUGCUUCAUUAUGUGUUGUUGAAUUAAACUAGAUAAUAAAAAUA